AUUCAUUUAAUUAACAAUAAAAAUUUCAAAUACAUUUUACAUUACUUCAAUGUCCUACGACGAAGACACAUAUAAUUAAUAGCAUAUUCACUGUAAUUAUUGUGUACAUUUAAUACACCAAAAGUCUAGAAUUGGUUCACAUUAUUGAUGAAGGAUAAUCAAUAUAACAUUCAUAAAUCCAAAUGAUCGAAUUCUAAAUAAAGCAAAUCUUCUUAGGUUUCAAUUUCCAGAAAUAUCAUAAGUUGGCAAAAAAGGAACAACUACCUAAAGAAAGUAAAAUGAUUUAUAAGAGAUAAGAUAGAAGAAAUCCAAACAAUAUGGGCACCAGUAGAACCAAAAUGAUUAUCUGCAAAGAAAUUGCGAUGAAAUUAAAUCGAAUAAAAUGUCUAAGAACCAAAAAAAAAGAAUAAAUCGUUAAGAUUUUCAUCUCACCAAUAUCUUGCUAUACAUUGAUUUGCUUUCGUAGGCAUUAUAUAGUCUGGGUAAAAAAGGGAUGAUUAGAUAUGAUAAUGUGUCGUAAUAUUAAAGGAAAAAAACAACGUAAGCAGAGUUAUUGGGUUUCAUAGAUUUGUGAUCAAACUAUUUUAAUUUUUAAUUCCAAAUGAACAUAAAAAAAAAUUAAUUUGGACUUUGGAGGUAGAGAAAAUCUGACAAACCUGGUUGUGUCCAACGUUCCAGAGUCAAGACAUGAAGAGCAGUAGAAACAACAAACAAGAUCAACAAUUCAACAAAUAAAUACCAGAGAAUCCAACAAGUAGCAACGGAGGGAGAAGUGGAGAAGAGAUUCCCGGAGUCCGGAGAAGAGCUAGAGUCCCGAAGUGGAGAAGAGAAGUGGAGAAGAUGGAUUUGGGGGAAAACGGGGGAGAAGAGGGUUUGAAGAUUAAUAUAUUGUGAAAUUUAUAUAUUAACCUUUAAAAAAUAUUAAUAUAUUGUGAAAAUUACACUUAACCCCCUAUAAAAAAAAUUAUUACAUAUAGGUCCUCGCUUUUUUUCCAAAUUUUAGGGGGGGCAAUUGCCCUCCCUUGCCCCCUCCUGGAUACGCCUCAGUCACCGCACCAACUGAGGUAAAUUAUUAUUCAAUUAAAAGGGAUCUCAUACUACACAAAGAUACAAUCCUAGUUCCAAACGAUGAAGAUCUACAGAAUUCAAUAUUCGAGGAAGCUAUGAGCCCAAUUGAUCUUGGUCACCACAAGAAGAAGAUCUUUUGGUAGUGGUGAAGAAGUUGAUGAAGUUAAAGAAUUUAAAAAUUAAUUAUUAUCGAUAAUUUUUGUUAAUUUACUUAAUUAUUAUCUAUUUACAUUUGAACUAUUUAAUUUUUAACUAUUUGAGCUAUAAUUUCAUACUUCUUAUUUUUUUAUUCAGUAUUUUACAUUAUUGUUUAAAAUCAUUAAAAAAAAAUCAAUAAUUUGGUCUAGGUACCUCUUUGUCCUCAGUCAUACCCACUCACCCCUACAGAGAUCUCUCGAAUCCCCCAUCCGUUGAAGAAGACCUGGUUACAAUUGAAGAUUCGGUAUCAAGACAUUGUAGGGAAAUGGUAUGUUUAAUUUAUUUUGUUUAAUUGUUGAAUGAAAUGGUGACAUGACAUAUAUAAGAGGAAAUAAAGUAAUGAAUAGGGGAUAGAACUGUGGAAGAAACGAUGAAUAAUAGGAACUAAUAUUUAGAAGAGUUAAAUAUGGAAGGUGACUGUUUAGCAUUUUUGAUGCGGUACGUCGGAUCUCAUCAUCACGAGUGGAUCUCAUCUCACAAUUUUUUUUAUAAUAGUUUGCAUCAGAAACCAUCUAUAUUUUUUAAAAUUCAUACAUAAAGAAUUCAUAAUAUAUCCAUAAUUAGAUAAAAACUCAAAGUUAUUAAAUCUUAAUUAUUGGACUUAAUUCUGAAGAAGUGUAUCAUCUCCAAUGUAAUAUUUUUUGACACAUAUAUUAAUUUUUGUUUACUUUUUUUUUAAUAAAAAACUUGUUAAUCAAAAUUGAAGAUAUAUAUAGAUCCAUCGGGAACCGGUACUCUGGUGGGAGGCUAAAUAUGUGUAUUUAUUUUGAAAUACGUUCAUUCUUCAUCAAUUUCAUUUUACCGUGAAGUUGCCGUAUCUUCUUCAUCAGAAAAUUUUGAAUCAAUCGCAGCUUUUCGCGAUUUUGUCGAUGAGUCCAAAAAUAAUACUGGUUUGUCAAUCCAAAAAUUCAUCCUUAAAAGGGUUUUCCAUCUCAUCUUUUCUUUUCGACGACGAACAAAAUCUGGUUUCCUUUGAAGAUUUCCUUAGAUGACGACGUUGAAGAGUACUCGAAUCUCACUUCUUCCCCAUCCGUUGAAGAAAACCUGGUUUCAAUUGAAGAUUCGGUAGAUAAUGAUGAAGACAUU
rnacentral:lncRNA from 1 species